rnacentral:rRNA from 1 species
CAGCAGCCGCGGUAAUACAGAGGGUGCGAGCGUCAAUCGGAUUUACUGGGCGUAAAGCGUGCGUAGGCGGCUUCUUAAGUCGGAUGUGAAAUCCCUGAGCUUAACUUAGGAAUUGCAUUCGAUACUGGGAAGCUAGAGUAUGGGAGAGGAUGGUAGAAUUCCAGGUGUAGCAGUGAAAUGCGUAGAUAUGUGGAGGAACACCGAUGGCGAAGGCAGCCUCCUGGGCCAAUACUGACGCUCAUGCACGAAAGCGUGGGGAGCAAACAGGAUUAGAUACCCCCGUAGUCCCUGUCUCUUAUAC